UACAGAGGUCUCAACCGUUGUUCGGAUUCAUUGGGCGUAAAGGGUGCGUAGGCGGUCGCGUAAGUCAGGUGUGAAAUCCCGGGGCUCAACCCCGGAACUGCAUUUGAUACUGGCGGCCUUGAGUCCGGGAGAGGUGAGUGGAACUGCGAGUGUAGAGGUGAAAUUCGUAGAUAUUCGCAAGAACACCAGUGGCGAAGGCGGCUCACUGGCCCGGUACUGACGCUGAGGUGCGAAAGCGUGGGGAGCAAACAGG
rnacentral:rRNA from 1 species